rnacentral:rRNA from 1 species
UUGGACCUAUGGGGGGCAGCAGUGGGGAAUAUUGCACAAUGGGGGGAACCCUGAUGCAGCGACGCCGCGUGAGGGAAGAAGUGUUUCGGUAUGUAAAGCUCUAUCAGCAGGGAAGAAAAUGACGGUACCUGACUAAGAAGCCCCGGCUAACUACGUGCCAGCAGCCGCGGAAAUACGUAGGGGGCAAGCGUUAUCCGGAUUUACUGGGUGUAAAGGGAGCGCAGACGGCUGUGCAAGUCUGGAGUGAAAGGCGGGGGCCCAACCCCCGGACGGCUCUGGAACCUGGAAAGCUGG